UACGAAGGGUGCAAGCGUUACUCGGAAUUACUGGGCGUAAAGCGUGCGUAGGUGGUUUGUUAAGUCUGAUGUGAAAGCCCUGGGCUCAACCUGGGAAUGGCAUUGGAUACUGGCAGUCUAGAGUGCGGUAGAGGGUAGCGGAAUUCCCGGUGUAGCAGUGAAAUGCGUAGAUAUCGGGAGGAACAUCCGUGGCGAAGGCGGCUCACUGGCCCGAUACUGACGCUGAGGCACGAAAGCGUGGGGAGCAAACAGG
rnacentral:rRNA from 1 species